rnacentral:rRNA from 1 species
UACGUAGGGGCCGAGCGUUGUCCGAAGUUACUGGGCGUAAAGCGCGUGUAGGCGGGUUGCCAAGUCCGCUGUGAAAGCCCGAGGCUCAACCUCGGAGGGUCGGUGGAUACUGGCAGUCUUGAAGGUGCUAGGGGGAGAUGGAAUUACCGGUGUAGCGGUGAAAUGCGUAGAGAUCGGUAGGAACACCAGUGGCGAAGGCGGUCUCCUGGAGCAUUCUUGACGCUGAGACGCGAAAGCUGGGGGAGCGAACGGG